AGCUAGAUGGAGCAGAGUCUGAACAAAGACUUCUAUUUUCAGAGGGUUGAAGGUAAACCCUUCAUCUGCAAGUUAUUUAAAGUUGAAACUAGUUUCAUCAACAGGGUUUUGCAAGACUCAGCAGCGAGCUACUGAAGACUUUCCAAAAUGUGCAGAUCUUCAGGCUCCCAUUUUGCCAUGGAGAAAACGUGCAGAAAGAAUUCCAGGUCAGUGAAGAAGCUAUCAGAGACACAGCCACUCUACCAACACGUAACAGUGCCGAUGGACAGCAGCAGAGAAAGACAGCAAAGGAAACUGGAGAGUUAUGCACCAAGCUGAAGGCCUGGCAGACCAUAAAGAAGGGAGAGUGGAUGAAGAGAGGGGAAGGUAAGCAUGAGUACGAUACAGAGGUUGGCUAUUUAUGACAUGGGAGAAGGGUCCAACAAGCAUGCAUAGCAAAUAUGGGUACUAGGCAUGAAUGGUGCCAACUCCCCUCCUGUAGCUGCAGCUACCUGCAGCUAAAGACAGGCAGGAGGGAGAGCACUCAUUAGCGGGUGAUGUCUAAAGCAAAUCAGGAAACAUGACUGUGGAUCCCAGGGCAAAAAAACACAGAUCGUUGCUGCUCUCUGCUUGUAUAACAGAACACCUGCAGAUAUUACAGAAAAGUUGAAGCUGUCCCCAUUGUAAAGAUCACUUCUUAAUUCUCUGUCUCGCACUCCUUCUCACGCCCUAAAAUGCACAAGCGUUUAAGAACCAAUGCUGUCUGUGGCUGCAAAGCUACAAUGAACAUGAGUGGAGUCCCAUCGUGAGUUUCUAUUCAUGGAAGACUACAGCCAGCAGGCUGGCUAUCUUAUCUGUCGUGGGAGUGCACCAAGGGGAGGGAAGCUCUCAGGGCACAAGCGCUGAAUCUCAGAGGUGAGGAUAACAGCAUGAACUGCACUCUGUUGCUGAAGGCAAAGGAAAGUUAAGUUCUUUCAUGCCACAUCUGUCAAUAAUCACAAGAAAACACACCUCAAGCACUAGGUUACCUCUAUUAAAAAAAACAGGCCUGCCUCUCCACGUAAGAUGUUUACAAUAACCCCUAACAAUGGUGUAUUAUUUCCAUUUACUGAUAAAUUUAAACCAACUAUUAGAAGGAAAAGCAUACAGUUCUGUUCACCACCACACUCACAGCUCCAAAGGAUGGCAGAUCAUUCUACACACAAAAGAAAUUACAGCCUGCGAAAGCCUAGCAGCAUAUAUCUUACCAUCAUCAUCAUCCUGGUUUGGAUUGGGCACAUCUUUUAAAAUGCUGAAGAUUUCAUCAUUGCUGGCCUUAUUUUUAAUUGCGAUUGUUAAACAGAGUGCGACAGUAUAUCCAGGAAGAGACCCUAAACAAGAGCAAAGAGGUCAAAAUAUGUCUAAGGCAAGUGACUAUUUUUAACACCAGUUUGUCUAUCAGAGAAACAAGUACACUUCCCAACUACACCUAAAACUAGCUGUUUCUAAUAUCAUUGUCCACAUCACUAUUCCAUAAAACUGCUCAACACUUUUCCUGGUCUUCACAUUAAAUACAAAACUUCCAGUAGAACCUUUAGAACUGAGGUCAGGUAAUCGCUCUCCCGUCUAAAGCUCUACUUCAGCUUUCACGAAUUUCCUAAAAAUACAAUACUUCCUUGUUUUUCCUCACUGUAUCUUUGACGAUGAUACUUUUAUGCUUAGGAUUGUCUUUACACUGAGUAGUAAAAGGAAUAAUAAGGUAUCUCUCUAUCUCAAUCUUUACGUCAUCUGCUGCCUCUGUAUGCUUCAUUAAACCAAGUUCACUGGUAAAAUCUUCUACUGUUUCAUGAAGUUCAAACAAUAAACUCACAUUAUCACUUUA